CCAGAGAACUUUCCAGAGAUGGAUUGGUGCCUUCGGGAACUCUGAGACAGGUGCUGCAUGGCUGUCGUCAGCUCGUGUUGUGAAAUUGUUGGGUUAAGUCCCGCAACGAGCGCAACCCUUAUCCUUUGUUGCCAGCGGUUAGGCCGGGAACUCAAAGGAGACUGCCAGUGAUAAACUGGAGGAAGGUGGGGAUGACGUCAAGUCAUCAUGGCCCUUACGAGUAGGGCUACACACGUGCUACAAUGGCGCAUACAAAGAGAAGCGACCUCGCGAGAGCAAGCGGACCUCAUAAAGUGCGUCGUAGUCCGGAUUGGAGUCUGCAACUCGACUCCAUGAAGUCGGAAUCGCUAGUAAUCGUGGAUCAGAAUGCCACGGUGAAUACGUUCCCGGGCCUUGUACACACCGCCCGUCACACCAUGGGAGUGGGUUGCAAAAGAAGUAGGUAGCUUAACCUUCGGGAGGGCGCUUACCACUUUGUGAUUCAUGACUGGGGUGAAGUCGUAACAAGGUAAGCGUAGUGCU
rnacentral:rRNA from 1 species